AGAUUUGGAAAAGGUUCUUGACCCAGUGCAUGUGCAAGGCCGAGGUGCACCGAAGAAAAGGCUGCAGGCAAAGAUGAAGAAGCAAAGAUCAAAGAGGAAAUGUGGCUACUGUGGGGUGGAAGGUCAUAAUCGGCGUAAAUGCAAUAAAUUGAAAGAGGAAAUGAUGGCAGCAAACUGUUAGCUACAGCUCUCUGUACAAGGCCAUUGGCAAAAUGGACGCAGCUGUUGAGCCUCAAGAGAGUGAUGUUGUGUUGGUGGCGAAGUGCCCCAACCCUGAAUAUCCUAUGAAUGCCAUGUGAAGGAGGGUAUGAGGAAGAUUUUGGAUGGUCAGCGACAAGGGCGUCAUCAAGAAGAACAGGGAGCUGCAUGCAUUUCCUGGGUAGCAGUUCUAACUGUUUUUGUCAUAUCUCAUUGUGGAUUAGUGAGAAUGUUAUGUAAUUAGUGAUCUGCAGUCCAGAUAGUUUAGCAAGUGAGAUGUUUGCUGUGUUGAGGAUGUCAGAUUGCUCGGCUGCAGGUGGGGAACAGUGCCGACUUUGUGUUUUUGUGGACGGGUCGAGGCAUAUUCUAUCAGAUUUUCUAUACUGUGCUUUCAGGAUGUUGUAUAAUACAAUUUGCUGGAGCAUGCCAUCGCUUAUACAGGUUUAAGAUUAUGCAUUUUACAUGUGACGUUGGCAGGCAUAUGAUUAUGCGCGUUUUCGGAUCUAGAUAUAUACAAUGACGCACACAUUCGCCUUUAACAGUAGAUUUU